GAUGGUCUUGGAGGGCUUUUCCAACCUGAGCGAUUCUGUGAUUCCAAACAGAUUUAAACUACCCAGUUCUUCCUCUCCUGCAGUGGCACAGCAGCCCCAGGCGUGACAGUCCCAAGGCCACUUUUACACCUGAGGUAACGUCUCACCACCGUAGCAGUUGUCUCUCCAGAGACAUUCUCCUCUUCCAGACUGAAAGGGUUCCUGAACUCAGUGAUGUAGGUGUUGUGAUUCAGUGUCUUGGGCACGGAUCCCAUCUCAACAGGGCUGGUAUUCCCAGGAGCCAGCAAGCUGAAAUUAAUUCAUUACAAUGAAAUCCACAAAAUAAUUAAGAAGAAAAUAGUUUGUGCCUCCGUAGGAAGGAUCAAAAUAAACCAAUUUAUGCUAUGAUCAGUUAUUGCAAUACAGUCUGUUUCUGCUUUACACUGUGUAAGAUGCACUAUGCUAAUUAAGCAUAUGUUUGUAUAGAUUAGUCUCAAUGAGAUUUACCCCAGUUUUCUACACCAUCUGUGCAAGAUUGGUAGACUAGUUGGAAGUGAUCUCUGUAUACAUUGUCUGUACUAGCUGAAGAAGUGUUUAGAACACUUAGAGGUAGAAGUUUUCUUUUCGUUAUUACUGGUCUAGCAAACCUUUAGUUACGGAUUUUGAGCGUUUUCCUUGUGCUUUCAAAAACUAGUGAUUUAAGGCAAUAUCAAUUUAGAAGUUAUGAUUCAAAGUUAUCAUUUUAAAAGACCAAAUAAAUCAAGGAAGAAUUUAAAGAACCUGACAAAUCCUUUCCUGCUUAGUUUUAUUUAGAGAUAUGAAACAUGCAUUACUGCUAUGGAGGGGAAGAUACCACCAAGUAUAAAUGUUGCCAUAAUGAAAAAUUAGGCCUUAAAAAUAAUCUGGGAGUUUAUCACUACAAAACUGUCAUGUUGUUUAUUUUAGCUCUUGGCAUUUAUCAUGAUGAAUAACUGAUGCAUGAAAAAAAAAAGUCUAUCCUCCUAACAGUGCUUGAAGCCAACUGAUGGCUUUUUCUGUGUAAUCCCCAGGGAAGCCUGUGUCAGAACCUCUACCCUGGCACUCCAUGUUACCAGGGGCUGAUUUCCUUGACUGGGGGGACAGAGGAAGGAGCUCUUUGCCCUGGACAGCCCUGGUGUGAUGCUGUGACAGAGGAUGUUGGGAAGAACACGAGGAGCUAUCCCUGCCUAUGCUCUUCAGUGUACCUCAGGAUGCUUCAAAUCUGCAAGCCUGGCUCCAGCCACGCAGCAGAGUAUGGAGGGUCCAAACCCAUGGGGUCUAAACCAGGAACUGGGCCUAAACCUGACCACAGCAGCACGACUUUCCCCCUCCUGCAGCACUGUGAGCAGGUCAGCAGUGCCUGGUGUGUGUCCCACACCAAGGAGCUGCAGCCAGAGGCUCCGGCUGGUGUGGAAUGAGCAACACCCAGAGAGUACCAGACUUUCUGCUUUCAAAACAGGGCGGGCACGUGAAAAGCGCUGCUGCAAAUUGUCCCUGGCCUGACCUAAAUCCCAAACCAUGCCCGAGACUUGUCUGGAAAAGUGCAACUGGCCCAGGGCCCAGCCUUUGCCGGGGACUGCAGCAACCAGAGAGCAUGGACAAGGGAGCUCUGCGUGCUGGGCUUUCCCAUUUGCAUCUACGUGGUCCUGGGAUCAGACUGAGCUGCCCCAAGGCCUUGGCACACUUUCCUGCUGCAGAGCAGGCCAGACAUCCUUCUUGGAGUAACUUGGAACUAUCCUUUGGUAGGAUAGUAGAUACUAGGCAACAAGCUGGGGCACAGAGUGGGAGUUUUGGGGUUUUCUGAAGGUUUCAUGUUUGGGUGUGUUCAUUUGUUUUGUUUGGGAUUUUUUUUUUUAUUUGACUUUUUUUUAAUGUACUGGGAAAAAAACCAGUUCCAAACAUCUUCAAGACAAUCACAAGAUCAAACCUCAACUCUCCAAAGGCAGACAGGUACACUGUCACAAUAAACUCAAGAAUUAAAAUACAUUUCUGUUGACUGUGAGGAUGUCUAUCUGGCAUGAGAAUCUCUGGUGUAACACCAUAGUGCCCAGCUUAGCUGGGAAAACUGUAUGACAAGCUCAGGACAGGGAUUGAUCCAGGAGCUCUGGAAUUCCCUUCCUUGCUGCUCUUGCACAACAUCACUGCUUGCCAGCUGUUGCCUUUGCCUACUGUUCUUCAUCCUUCUUAUUGUACAUUUGCAUUACAGUGUGUACUGGAAGAGAAGACUAGGAAACCUCAGUAAAAUUUUUUUUUGCCUUUUGA